CGGAGGAGGAGAGGAGGAGAUCAUUAAUGGCUCCCAGGUUCUUGCCUUUGAUCAGGUUGUCUGGAGCGAGGUAAAAGGCCACCUCCCUGGCCCACAAGCCCCUCACCCAAGGCUUUGGCCAGUUGGCCUCUUCACUCAGUACAUCCUGCUAGUUAGGAGCACAGAAUCCUUUUCCUUCAAGGGGUUCCUCUGUUAACCCCUGGUGCUGCAGCGCUGGCAUUGGAUGUUACAAUUUGCCCAUUGCUGUCAGAACUGGACAAGUGACCCAACAGGAAUUCUUGGGAUACUGAGGCAGAUAUGCUAGCAAGGAGGCCUUCUUGACAUUGAGAAAAAAAGCGCAGGUAAGGGUGAGUGACUGGGGUGCCCCAGGGCUGCUGGCAAGCCCUCACUUCUGUUUCUGCUGGAGAAGGGCUGCCCAAAGGUGGAGGAGGUCUUUGGGGCAUUAGGGUGAGCCCCAGCUGAGCAAGGAAAGCAGGUUCCCUUUCCACUCUUCCUCUCAGGAAGUCCCACCACUUACUAGGUUGGAGGAGACCUUAACUCAUCUAUCCCUCCGUUUUCUUAUCUGCUUUAGGAGCAUAAAAGAGCAUCUAUUUCAUCGGGCAGUUGGGAGAAUUUCAUGAAUCCACAUCUUAAAACAGCACGUUCUGGCUGGGCACGGUAGCUCACGCCUAUAAUCCCAGCACUUUGGGAGGCCGAGGCGGUGGGCCACUUUAGGUCAGGAGUUCGAGAUCAGCCUGGUCAACACGGUGAAACCCCAACUCUACCAAAAAUACAAAAAUUAUCUGGGUAGGGUGGUGCAUGCCUGUAAUCCCAGCUACUGGCUGAGGCAGGAGAAUCGCUUGAACCCGGGAGGUAGAGUUUACAGUGAGCCAAGAUCCUCCCAUUGCACUCCAGCCUGGGCAACAAGAGCAAAACUUCAUCUUAAAAAACAAACAGACAAAUAAACAACAGCACAUGUCCUUCAGUGAAGGUUCAAAUAAUACAAUAUUAGAAAGUUUCGUGGUUCCCAGUCUCAGUCUAUCUGUGUCCUCUCUUUGCCCCUUCAGCCUUCCCAGCAUCUCAUGGUCACCCACACCCCUAACAGCCUUCCCCUCCAGGAAAUGUAACCUCUCCAGGGAAGCUUCCUGAGCAGCAGGGCUUACUCUGGAAUUAUGUAAAGAGUCGCCACAAACCUACAAAGUGCCACCCCACCCCUGCUGAAGCAAUGUGUCCAGAGGCCACAGGGACACAGGGUGGGUGACGGAAAGAAAUAUGUCAUUGUGGGCAGAGUCCCAGAAAUUGGAGGUUCCCCAGCUUCAAGAAUACAACCUUUGUUGUCGGGGGUGUUGUUUCAUGAAGGGCCAUAUGAAGCAGCCUUCUACAUCCCUAAAAGACCCAACGAGAGUCGGUGGAUUAAAUUAAAGCAGCAGAGAUUUGAGUGAGAUACAGGGAAGGCUCUCUUGAUAGCCAGGGAUAACACCCAGGAGAGGCUAGGGGAAGAUGGCUGUGUUGCCCUGUCCCAGGAAGGGAGCCUGGAGAGGAUUAGGUCUCAGAGCUGGUGUG
rnacentral:lncRNA from 1 species